rnacentral:rRNA from 1 species
AUGAAGAUUGCUAAGCUAGAAACUGUAGUUUGCAACUUGAAGGCAGAGCUUUCAAAGAAAGAGGAGGAGAAGAAGAAACUACAGGAGAACCAUGACAGUUUGUAUGCUGAUGUGAAUUCUCUCUUGGAUGCCCAGCAGCAAAGGGGUGUGGAGUUAAACAAUCAGAAGGAGCAGAAGGAAUAUGUUGAUGUGAAGAUUGUUGAGCUUGAGACUGUGGUGGGGAACUUGAAGGCAGAGUUGUCAAAGACGGAGGAGGAGAAGAAGAAGAUGCUGCAAAACUAUGAAACUCUGAAGAACCUGAGAUGUGCUCAAGCCAAUGUGAUUAGGAACUUGAAGUUCAAUCAUUUGAAGGAGAAGGAGAGGCUGACAGAAGGGCGGCUUGUAUCACAUUUCUGA